UAGCCUAGUGGUUAAAGCUAUGGAUCGCCAAUCCGGAGACGGCGGGUUCGAUUCCCGC
rfam:Aedes albopictus isolate Foshan contig121006, whole genome shotgun sequence.